rnacentral:sRNA from 1 species
CUUGGUCAUUUAGAGGAAGUAAAAGUCGUAACAAGGUCUCCGUUGGUGAACCAGCGGAGGGGUCAUUAAAGAGUUGCAAAACUCCCUUUAAACCAUCGCGAACGUUACCCACGACGCCGUUGCCUCGGCGGAGCGUCGCCCCGUGCCGUCAAAAGCACGGGGCGGCGCCCGCCGGGAGACCGGCACAACCAAACUCUUAUAACCAUUGGCCUCUCUGAGUAAGAUUUUUAAAUAAGUCAAAACUUUCAACAACGGAUCUCUUGGUUCUGGCAUCGAUGAAGAACGCAGCGAAAUGCGAUAAGUAAUGUGAAUUGCAGAAUUCAGUGAAUCAUCGAAUCUUUGAACGCACAUUGCGCCCGCCAGUAUUCUGGCGGGCAUGCCUGUUCGAGCGUCAUUUCAACCAUCAAGCCCUGCUUGUGUUGGGGUCCUGCGGCUGCCCGCAGGCCCUGAAAACCAGUGGCGGGCUCGCUAGUCACACCGAGCGCAGUAGCACAUCUCGCUUUGGUCGUGCGGCGGGUUCUUGCCGUAAAACACCCCCCUUUUAUCAAGGUUGACCUCGGAUCAGGUAGGAAUACCCGCUGAACUUAAGCAUAUCAAUAAGCGGAGGAAAAGAAACCAACAGGGAUUGCCCUAGUAACGGCGAGUGAAGCGGCAACAGCUCAAAUUUGAAAUCUGGCUUCGGCCCGAGUUGUAAUUUGUAGAGGGAGCUUUUGGCGAGGCACCUACUGAGUCCCCUGGAACGGGGCGCCAUAGAGGGUGAGAGCCCCGUAUAGUAGGACGCCGAGCCUUUGUAAAGCCCCUUCGACGAGUCGAGUUGUUUGGGAAU